rnacentral:lncRNA from 1 species
UCUCCCUCUCGCCCCUCUGAAUCUCUGCUGUUGGAGAGCUCUCUGGCAGACAGUGCGCAAUCCUGCCUCGUCUACAGUUGUCUGUAGUGCAGCGGAGCAGGUGGAGAAGGAAAAGAAACGGGGGAGACAGAGGGGAGAGCAGCAGAAAGAGUACGGCAGACAGCUGGAGAAGGAACUGUUAUCCAUGUGAAUAAUGGAAGAUGGCUGAAUUACACGCUGGGAUAUUUAUUCAAAGAACAGUAGAAAAACUGAUGCCUGAGUGUGUCGGACAGUUGCAGACGUUUACUGGAAUCAUAAGCAGUGUUUUGAUAAUACAGACUAUUGUGAAAUCAUCACUGCCAGAAAGUGCUGCGAGCCUCCUCUGCAUGUCGGAGCACUGGUGUGUCAACCUAAAGAAGCUAUCAGGAAAAACAGAACCUUGAGGAGUAAACAUUCAUCUCUGAAGUGACACAUACAAGCCAGCUUUCCUGUGCUCGUCUUCUCUACAAAUUCUGCACAAUACAGUGUGUGCGUUGUGGAAGGGAACACUCCACUUUGAUGUUCAUGGUACAUAUUAUUUUAUCCCACAAUAAUUACCAUAAUUAACUAUAUGAUGGAGGUAUAUGUUAAGUUCUUCUGUGGGCAUCACCUCCUAUAGAUACAUGCUUUCUAAAUAAAUAUGCUGCUGCUCGGUCUUACUAAUGAACUAAGGACAUCAAGGAGCCAACUUAAAAGCUCAAAUUUAGGCUAAACGUCACUGGGAACUUCUGUCCAGUCUUAAAUAUGGAAUCAGAAGAAAGCACAGGACUGUCCACAGCUGCACUGGUGGCCAUCGCCUGCAACACCUUUGUUGCCAUCCUCCUUCUCCUCCUCUGUCUAAUCCUCUACCGAGCUUGCAGGGUUCCUUCUAGCCCAGAGAGGCAGCCUGUGCUGGCUCCAAGUGAAGCAGAAACCCAGCAGAUGAACGAGCACAAGUACCUGUUAACCUCCUGACUGAUGAAGAAUGAGUCAAAUGUAGCAACAAGCUAUGACCUCAGCGUACUCCUCCACAGGAGAGGGGACUGAAGGAGCACUGAGCCUGACUGCAAGCAAUAACGAAGCUUGUCCUCUCCUAGUGUCAAAAAAUAAAUAAAAAUAUCAGCUGUCGCUCUAAUAUCAGAAAUGCCUCACAAAAACAGAAAGGAUGAGUUGUUGUGGAGUGAGAGAACUAUUUUUAAAUGGCAAUCACUUGUCAAAUCUGGUAACUGGUUUGACAAAACACACGGGGGGAGUGCCGGUGCAAAUGUAUGUUUAACGCACACACAAUAAGCCUCGAGAGGAACACAUGGUCACAAGGAUGUCUGCAGGUUACAUACAGACUGAGAGAAAGGAGUGUUCAGUACAUGAAGAAUGACUAGUACUUGUUGGAGGUUUCUAAAUAUAUAUCCUCUUAUUUCAUAUGUUGGCCUGAAAAAAAAGAGAAACAGUCUGUUACUCAGAACAGGGACUUGAGCCCGUGUGGAGUGUGUGUGUGUGUGUCACUGUCACUCAUAAAUAUCAGUGGACUGUGAGGCACAGUGCUUUUGCUAAGGGUGUUGCAUAAGAACUAGCGAUGCUUAGUUGAAAUGUGUCCUCUUCAAUAGCGGCCCUCAUAGUGACAUCUGCCUGCAGCCGUGUGUGACGGGCAGCUCGCUUUGGACAGAAUCACACGCUGAUCAUGUAAAGAUCUUCAGUUUUACCAACAUCCCAUUGCAAAUUAUUAAGACUCAACCACUUCUCCACUAUCACAGCUGAGAUCACACGUACACCAAAAAGGAGUAAGAAAGAAAAGGUUCUCAAAAUAUAUUCCUACUCCAAGCGUGAAAAUAUACCUACUGCUAAUAGACUCCUUUUCAUCAAUAGCUUCCACAGAG